rnacentral:rRNA from 1 species
UGGGGAAUAUUGGACAAUGGGGGGAACCCUGAUCCAGCCAUGCCGCGUGUGUGAAGAAGGCCUUAUGGUUGUAAAGCACUUUAAGCGAGGAGGAGGCUACUAGUAUUAAUACUACUGGAUAGUGGACGUUACUCGCAGAAUAAGCACCGGCUAACUCUGUGCCAGCAGCCGCGGUAAUACAGAGGGUGCGAGCGUUAAUCGGAUUUACUGGGCGUAAAGCGUGCGUAGGCGGCCAUUUAAGUCAAAUGUGAAAUCCCCGAGCUUAACUUGGGAAUUGCAUUCGAUACUGGAUGGCUAGAGUAUGGGAGAGGAUGGUAGAAUUCCAGGUGUAGCGGUGAAAUGCGUAGAGAUCUGGAGGAAUACCGAUGGCGAAGGCAGCCAUCUGGCCUAAUACUGACGCUGAGGUACGAAAGCAUGGGGAGGCAAACAGGAUUAGAUACCCUGGUAGUCCAUG